CCUACGGGUGGCAGCAGUGGGGAAUAUUGCGCAAUGGGCGAAAGCCUGACGCAGCGACGCCGCGUGAGGGAUGACGGUCUUCGGAUCGUUAACCUCUGUCAGCAGGGAAGAACGGUCACUGUGCUAAUCAGCCGUGAAUUGACGGUACCUGCAAAGGAAGCACCGGCUAACUCCGUGCCAGCAGCCGCGGUAAUACGGAGGGUGCGAGCGUUAAUCGGAAUUACUGGGCGUAAAGCGCUCGUAGGCGGUAGGUCAAGUCAAGGGUGAAAUCCCCGCGCGCAACGUGGGAACUGGCUGUGAAACUGGGAAGCUGGAGGGUGUGGGAGGAUAGUGGAAUUGCAGGUGUAGGAGUGAAAUCCGAAGAUAUCUG
rnacentral:rRNA from 1 species